GAUGAACGCUGGCGGCGUGCCUAAUACAUGCAAGUCGAGCGAACAGAUAAGGAGCUUGCUCCUUUGACGUUAGCGGCGGACGGGUGAGUAGCACGUGGGUAACCUACCUAUAAGACUGGGAUAACUUCGGGAAACCGGAGCUAAUACCGGAUAACAUUUGGAACCGCAUGGUUCUAAAGUGAAAGAUGGUUUUGCUAUCACUUAUAGAUGGACCCGCGCCGUAUUAGCUAGUUGGUAAGGUAACGGCUUACCAAGGCGACGAUACGUAGCCGACCUGAGAGGGUGAUCGGCCACACUGGAACUGAGACACGGUCCAGACUCCUACGGGAGGCAGCAGUAGGGAACCUUCCGCAAUGGGCGAAAGCCUGACGGAGCAACGCCGCGUGAGUGAUGAAGGGUUUCGGCUCGUAAAACUCUGUUAUUAGGGAAGAACAAAUGUGUAAGUAACUGUGCACGUCUUGACGGUACCUAAUCAGAAAGCCACGGCUAACUACGUG
rnacentral:rRNA from 1 species